rfam:Oryza nivara chromosome 1, whole genome shotgun sequence.
AAAAAGAUAAACUGUGGGUUUCUAUGCCAACGUUUGACUGUUCGUCUUAUAUAAAUUUUUUUAUAAUUAGUAUUUUUAUUAUUGUUAGAUGAUAAAACAUGAUUAAUAUUUUAUGUAUGACUUAUCUUUUUAAUUUUUUUCAUAACUUUUACAAAUAAGACGGACGGUUAAACGUUGGACACGGAAACCAGGGUUUGUCUUUUU